AACGAACGCUGACGGUGUGCCUCAUACAUGCAAGUCGAGCGGGCUCAGCAAUGGGUCAGCGGCGGACGGGUGAGUAACACGUGAACAAUCUGCCCUCAAAUUUGGGAUAACGGUUCCAACGAGCCGCUAAUACCGGAUAGGUUAGUCUGAUCUCCUGGUUGGAUUAAGAAAGUUGCAAUUGCAACGUUUGAGGAUGAGUUCGCGGCCCAUUAGCUAGUUGGCGGGGUAACGGCCCACCAAGGCGACGAUGGGUAGCCGGCCUGAGAGGGUGAUCGGCCACAUUGGGACUGAGAUACGGCCCAGACUCCUACGGGAGGCAGCAGUAGGGAAUUUUGCGCAAUGGACGAAAGUCUGACGCAGCAACACCGUGUGAGGGAUGAAGCAUUCGGUGUGUAAACCUCUGUCGAUGAUGAAUAAAGCAUGUGGGAGUGGAAAGCCCAUGUGUUGAAGGUAAUCAUGAAGGAAGCACCGGCUAACUCUGUGCC
rnacentral:rRNA from 1 species